GAGCUUCACAUUAUCUCUACAUGCCA
rnacentral:piRNA from 1 species